rnacentral:rRNA from 1 species
ACGUGGAUAACCUACCUAUAAGACUGGGAUAACUUCGGGAAACCGGAGCUAAUACCGGAUAAUAUAUUGAACCGCAUGGUUCAAUAGUGAAAGACGGUUUUGCUGUCACUUAUAGAUGGAUCCGCGCCGCAUUAGCUAGUUGGUAAGGUAACGGCUUACCAAGGCAACGAUGCGUAGCCGACCUGAGAGGGUGAUCGGCCACACUGGAACUGAGACACGGUCCAGACUCCUACGGGAGGCAGCAGUAGGGAAUCUUCCGCAAUGGGCGAAAGCCUGACGGAGCAACGCCGCGUGAGUGAUGAAGGUCUUCGGAUCGUAAAACUCUGUUAUUAGGGAAGAACAAAUGUGUAAGUAACUAUGCACGUCUUGACGGUACCUAAUCAGAAAGCCACGGCUAACUACGUGCCAGCAGCCGCGGUAAUACGUAGGUGGCAAGCGUUAUCCGGAAUUAUUGGGCGUAAAGCGCGCGUAGGCGGUUUUUUAAGUCUGAUGUGAAAGCCCACGGCUCAACCGUGGAGGGUCAUUGGAAACUGGAAAACUUGAGUGCAGAAGAGGAAAGUGGAAUUCCAUGUGUAGCGGUGAAAUGCGCAGAGAUAUGGAGGAACACCAGUGGCGAAGGCGACUUUCUGGUCUGUAACUGACGCUGAUGUGCGAAAGCGUGG